rnacentral:rRNA from 1 species
UACAGAGGAUGCAAGCGUUAUCCGGAAUGAUUGGGCGUAAAGCGUCUGUAGGUGGCUUUUUAAGUCCGCCGUCAAAUCCCAGGGCUCAACUCUGGACAGGCGGUGGAAACUACCAAGCUGGAGUACGGUAGGGGCAGAGGGAAUUUCCGGUGGAGCGGUGAAAUGCGUAGAUAGUCGUAAGGAAGACCAGUGGCGAAGGCGGGUCUCUGGACAGUUCCUGACGCUGAGGCACGAAGGCCAGGGGAGCAAACGGG